rnacentral:rRNA from 1 species
AUGUUGGUUUAAUUCGAUGCAACGCGAAGAACCUUACUAGGCUUGACAUCCCUGGAAUUUUGUGGAAACACAAAAGUGCCUUUCGGGGAACCAGGAGACAGGUGCUGCAUGGCUGUCGUCAGCUCGUGUCGUGAGAUGUUCGGUUAAGUCCGCUAACGAGCGCAACCCUCGUCGUAUGUUAUAUGUGUCAUACGAGACUGCCGGUAAAAAGCCGGAGGAAGGUGAGGAUGAUGUCAAGUCAGCAUGACCUUUAUAUCCUGGGCUACACACACGCUACAAUGGGAAGGGACAAUAGGUUGCGAAGCCGCGAGGCGGAGCCAAUCCAGCAAAACUUCCCUCAGUUCAGAUUGCAGGCUGCAACUCGCCUGCAUGAAGUUGGAGUUGCUAGUAAACGCAGGUCAGCCAUACUGCGUUGAAUACGUUCCCGGGGCUU